GGAAUACAGGCCGACCAUGGGGCUACAGACCACAAAGUGCCUUAGAUAGAGUUGAUAGAAAUGGGAAACCCUUGUUAUACAGAAUGACCUUGUGCAAGCCAACAGGGUCUACCUCAAUGAAGCUCACUUAAACAUAGAACAUCCUAGCCCAGGAGACGCCGGGGAGUGCGUAAUGGGAAUGUAUUGGAAAGGGGUGGCUCACAUAACAAGUUGGGGACCUUCUAUUUACAAGACAUGCUUACAUCACCUGACUGGGUAGGUUCCACACACAUGACCAUUAACCCUCUCAAACCACACAUUAAAACCCUUAAAGACAUGGUGGCUAUUGCCAAUCCCACAUUUGAAGACACUAUGGCUGUGGAGACCGGGUUUUCAGAUACUCAUCUAUGGCUUGAGUGGAUAAGGUAUAAUGCUAAUUCACACAACAAGACCAACUGUUAUGUUUGUGGUGGGGCUCGACCCCAUCUGGGUACAGUGCCUUUAAAUUUACCUCCAGAUGCUGAAAUGUGUUUCUUAAGCCUUUAUGCACAGUCAGCAGUAAAUUCAUCAGUG